rnacentral:rRNA from 1 species
UCCUACGGGAGGCAGCAGUGGGGAAUAUUGCACAAUGGGCGCAAGCCUGAUGCAGCAACGCCGCGUGAGGGACGAAGGCCUUCGGGUUGUAAACCUCUUUUAGUAGGGAAGAAGCGACUGGGUUUUCCUGGGAGUGACGGUACCUGCAGAAAAAGCACCGGCUAACUACGUGCCAGCAGCCGCGGUAAUACGUAGGGUGCAAGCGUUGUCCGGAAUUAUUGGGCGUAAAGAGCUCGUAGGCGGUUUGUCGCGUCUGCUGUGAAAACCCGAGGCUCAACCUCGGGCCUGCAGUGGGUACGGGCAGACUAGAGUGCGGUAGGGGAGAUUGGAAUUCCUGGUGUAGCGGUGGAAUGCGCAGAUAUCAGGAGGAACACCAAUGGCGAAGGCAGAUCUCUGGGCCGUAACUGACGCUGAGGAGCGAAAGCAUGGGGAGCGAACAGGAUUAGAUACCCUGGUAGUCCAUGCCGUAAACGUUGGGAACUAGAUGUGGGGACCAUUCCACGGUCUCCGUGUCGCAGCUAACGCAUUAAGUUCCCCGCCUGGGGAGUACGGCCGCAAGGCUAAAACUCAAAGGAAUUGACGGGGGCCCGCACAAGCGGCGGAGCAUGCGGAUUAAUUCGAUGCAACGCGAAGAACCUUACCAAGGCUUGACAUAUACCGGAAACGGCUGGAAACAGUCGCCCCGCAAGGUCGGUAUACAGGUGGUGCAUGGUUGUCGUCAGCUCGUGUCGUGAGAUGUUGGGUUAAGUCCCGCAACGAGCGCAACCCUCGUCCUAUGUUGCCAGCACGUAAUGGUGCGAACUCAUGGGAUACUGCCGGGGUCAACUCGGAGGAAGGUGGGGAUGACGUCAAAUCAUCAUGCCCCUUAUGUCUUGGGCUUCACGCAUGCUACAAUGGCCGGUACAAAGGGCUGCGAUACCGCAAGGUGGAGCGAAUCCCAAAAAGCCGGUCUCAGUUCGGAUUGAGGUCUGCAACUCGACCUCAUGAAGUCGGAGUCGCUAGUAAUCGCAGAUCAGCAACGCUGCGGUGAAUACGUUCCCGGGCCUUGAACACACCGC